GGGAUAUCCACAAGUAAUCUAGGUCUAAGCACCACGCUUACACCUAUACUACAACUCUAACCUAUAGCGUCCUAUAGAUUAGAAGUACUCAAAAGAGUUGUGAACCAGAACAUACAUGAUUAGUAAUUGCAUAAUGAAUUAGAAGUAGAUUACCAGAGUCAUCCCAUGAGCAAGCUUGAUUAGAGCUUGAUCAUGACGAAGUACAACCGGAGGAAGAAUCGACAGGCCGGCCUCUCCUCUAAUCCUCCUUCGCUCUCCAUCUUGCUACUAUCUAGAUCUACUCUAAUUUAGAGAAGAGAUGAGAGCUUUCAUCUCUAAACCCUAGCUUUUGCUCUGUCUAUGAAUAAUGAAUAAUGAUCAAGGGGUGCCUCCUCCAGGGGCCAGGGGGUCUGGUUUUAUAGUCCCCUCAAGUGAACCUGGGCCGUCGGAUCAAACCGACAUUGAUUGAACGGUUAUUCUUGAUCCAUUAGGUCGGUGGAGAUCUCCCGAGAGAAAGAGUCCUGAUUGGGCUCCAACAGAGGGCGGACGCCCAGGGAAAGGGCGGGCGCCCUGCCUCUGGCCCCUCUCGGCCUCCGCUUCCUUCCCGUGGCUUCUGGAGUCUGCUACCAACCGGGACUAAAGACUUUUUUCUUUUUUCCUUUUCUUUUGUUUUGUUUUCCAUUUAGGGUUUACAAUUAUGUUAUUAUUAUUUUCGAAUACGUAUUGUUUGCUGGUAGUUUAUGGAACGCGCAUCUAUAAUUUAUAUAAUUUAAAGCAUUACAUAUAAAUAUACUAUAAAACACUAUAUAUAUUAUAUGUAUCUAUAGGCCCAUAAUAUAAUAUUUACACAUAUGCUUCACGUACAAAGUAUUUACAACACAAUUUAUCUCCGCCACUCAAGCAUCGUCCAAAUGAUCAUCGUGAUUUGGUUUCAUCGGCUCCUUAGGGUUGAAGUAGCACUCACCGCCGGGAUUCAGGACUUGGUCGUUAAGAAAUCCUGUGAUUGUCUCCUGAAUUCCUUUUAGGCGGACCGCAUCCAACACCUGCUCCUUCAACAUUAAAUGAAAUAAACUUAUUAUAUAUACAUGUUACAUACUUUUAGGUGCUCAAGAUUAGUUCUUUUGGCAUACACCGUCAUAAACUCGCACACAUAGUAGCCACACAAAUUGUUGCCCGGUGUCUGCAAUAGAACCCACUGAAGUAAGAUAGGCUUUGAAAGUGCUGCAUUCAUCUCUGGACGGUGUUUCUGCACGAACCUAGCCCAAACCCUAACAAUAAAACGAUCAUUAUUAAUUAUCUAUUACCGAGUAAAAAGAGCAGAAUUUAAUAUAUAGAGAUCGGAGUUACCCUUGGAUAAUAUCUAUCAUUUCUUGGUAAUCGUCCUGUUGCUUUCUCAACGAGUCAUAGAUUACCAAUUGACAUUGCCAGAGAUCAAUGACAAUUAGUAUCCAAUGAAAGCUGCAUUUGUGUGCAUGUAGGCAAAAUUAGUAUAUAUCUUCAUACUGAUCUGAUUAAUUAGUUAAGUAGAAUGUACACACGAUAACGACACUUACUUAAAGUUGCAGGGAAAGAGUAUAUAUCUUUUAUCUUUUUGGUUGAUCAAGAACCUCCGUAGAUUUCUCUCUCUUUGAGUUCUCCAUAAGACAUACGGGGUCUUCCAGUCUUCGAAUACAACAUUUGGAUCCACAAAUCCAAUCUUCUUGUCAUUUCUAACUCUGAGGUCCCUCAUCAUGUUUCUACAUAUGUAU
rnacentral:lncRNA from 1 species